GACGAACCGUGCGAACGUUGUUCGGAUUCACUGGGCUUAAAGGGCGCGUAGGCGGAUUGUCAAGUCCGAGGUGAAAUCCUCUCGCUUAACGAGAGAACUGCCCCGGAUACUGACGAUCUCGAGGGAGGUAGGGGCAUGUGGAACUUCCGGUGGAGCGGUGAAAUGCGUAGAUAUCGGAAGGAACGCCGGUGGCGAAAGCGACGUGCUGGACCUCUUCUGACGCUGAGGCGCGAAAGCCAGGGGAGCAAACGGG
rnacentral:rRNA from 1 species